rnacentral:rRNA from 1 species
GACGAACGCUGGCGGCGUGCCUAAUACAUGCAAGUAGAACGCACAGUUUAUACCGUAGCUUGCUACACCAUAAACUGUGAGUUGCGAACGGGUGAGUAACGCGUAGGUAACCUGCCUGGUAGCGGGGGAUAACUAUUGGAAACGAUAGCUAAUACCGCAUAAUAUUAAUUAUUGCAUGAUAAUUGAUUGAAAGAUGCAAUUGCAUCACUACCAGAUGGACCUGCGUUGUAUUAUCUAGUAGGUGAGGUAACGGCUCACCUAGGCGACGAUACAUAGCCGACCUGAGAGGGUGAUCGGCCACACUGGGACUGAGACACGGCCCAGACUCCUACGGGAGGCAGCAGUAGGGAAUCUUCGGCAAUGGACGAAAGUCUGACCGAGCAACGCCGCGUGAGUGAAGAAGGUUUUCGGAUCGUAAAGCUCUGUUGUAAGAGAAGAACGGGUGUGAGAGUGGAAAGUUCACACUGUGACGGUAUCUUACCAGAAAGGGACGGCUAACUACGUG